AUAAUAACAAUGAGUGGCCACGGACUCAUAAUCCGUCGGUUCGGGGUUCAAGUCCCUGUGGGCCCA
rnacentral:tRNA from 1 species